rnacentral:rRNA from 1 species
UACGUAGGGGGCAAGCGUUGUCCGGAAUCAUUGGGCGUAAAGAGCGUGUAGGCGGCCCGGUAAGUCCGCUGUGAAAGUCCAGGGCUCAACCCUGGAAUGCCGGUGGAAACUGUCGGGCUAGAGUCCGGAAGAGGCGAGUGGAAUUCCUGGUGUAGCGGUGAAAUGCGCAGAUAUCAGAAGGAACACCAAUGGCGAAGGCAGCUCGCUGGGACGGUACUGACGCUGAGACGCGAAAGCGUGGGGAGCAAACAGG